rnacentral:misc_RNA from 1 species
AAGUCGUAACAAGGUUUCCGUAGGUGAACCUGCGGAAGGAUCAUUAUUGAAAACUCUGAACGCUUGUGGCUUCACUUCUGUUGCUGACUCCUCGAGUAUGUGCACGUUUGAAGUCGCUCGCCUCUUCUUUGUCCACCUGUGCACCUUUUGUAGAUCUGGUUGGGAAAAGCUCACUUCAACCUUCUGGGGGGGUUAAGUGGAUUUUGAAGGGUUUGCUUGCGCUCCCGUUUGCUCCUCCAGGUCUAUGCUUCAUAUCAUCUCUUGUAUGUUUAGAAUGUCUUGUUUAUGGGACUUCACCGUCCUUUAAAAAUCUUAAUACAA